rnacentral:rRNA from 1 species
UUCCGGUUGAUCCUGCCAGAGGCGACCGCUAUUGGAGUUCGAUUAAGCCAUGCGAGUCGAGAGUCUUAGGGACUCGGCAUACUGCUCAGUAACACGUGGAUAACCUGCCCUGUGCUGGAGGAUAACCUCGGGAAACUGAGAAUAAUACUCCAUAGACCACUAUGCCUGGAAUGGUUUGUGGUUCAAAGCUCCGGCGGCACAGGAUGGGUCUGCGGCGUAUCAGGUUGUAGGGGGUGUAAAGGACCCUCUAGCCAUUGACGCGUACGGGUUGUGGGAGCAAUCGCCCGGAGAUGGAUUCUGAGACACGAAUCCAGACCCUACGGGGUGCAGCAGGCGCGGAAACUUCACACUGCGGGAAACCGUGAUGAGGGAACUCCAAGUGUUUGCACUAUGUGCAAUCUUUUCUUGACUUUUAAUAGGUCUUGGUAAUAAGGGGUGGGAAAGACCGGUGCCAGCCGCCGCGGUAAUACCGGCACCCCAAGUGGUCGUCGCUUUUAUUGGGCCUAAAACGUCCGUAGCCUGUUUGGUAAACCCGUGGGUAAAUCAACAUGCUCAACAUGUUGACUUCUGCGGAGACUGCCAGACUAGGGACCGGGAGAGGUGUGGGGUACUCAUGGGGUAGGGGUAAAAUCCUGUCAUCCCAUGAGGACCACCUGUUGCG